UAUAUAUUCUUCUACCAAUAUUGUUCCUUCAAUUUAGCAAAAUUAGCCAAUAUUCUUCUAUAUUCUAAUUACAAACUAUCAUAAAAUACUUCGAGUAAUUUUUGUUGUUUUUCUUUUAUAUCUACUAUUUGUGGUGGCAUUUUGUUGUUCUCGUUGCCUUCAAGCUUUAAUAGACCAAAACAAUUGAACUAAUAGAGGUGGGUUCGAACAUAAGAAAAGACUGGUUAUAUGAAUUGGGUCUGUUAGUGUCACAAUUGACUAUAUUCUGGCUAUCUGAAAUCAAGUAUCAAACUACAAAACGCCAAGGCUUACUACUUCUGACUUAAUUCAAUCCAUAAUCCAUUUUACGAUUAUCAAUUCAACAAUACUUCUCUCAAUCACCAUUCUUCAUAAGCAAAUAAUAAAGAAAAUAAAGAGAUAGCACCAAGCUUACUUUGGCUUAUGACUCUCAGUCUGGCUCUCGAUCUCUCUUUUUUCAACCUAUUUAUCCUAUCAAAAAGAU
rnacentral:lncRNA from 1 species